ACCAGUCGACUUGGGGUAUGUCGUCAAUAUCCAUUGGAUGCACUGCGCUUUUUGAGAACGGGAUGGGCCGCCGGGAGCUGGCGGUCUAUUCAUAUCUAUUCAUAUUUUCUGGAAACCAGCACAUUCUGUCUUUUCAAGUCCUACGUCCUACACACUCAUCUGGAGAAGAUCCUCCCCCACCAAAAUGAAAAAGGAAAAAUAGAAAACAAGAUUGUUCAUUGUUUUGUUUGCCGCGCUGCAUCUAUGCUCCAUGCAUAACAGGGGAAGAAGAAGCUCCAACAAUUCUAGUUUAGUACUGCGGGGAUUCAAAAACAUAUCAGGUUGGGGAAUGCGCAUAUGCAGGGCAAAUACACUAUACUAACACUUCAACCCGCGAAACUGGCCUAUCAAUCAAUGGAGCGGCAGUUGAAGAUGAGUAUGCUUACGAUCUUAUGUCUAGUAGGGUGCCGCUUGCUUAUCUUCUGAACUGCAGCGGGCCUCUCUAUGCCGGGAGUUCGUCUCUGUGUAGGAACCAUUGCAAAUGGAACCUGAUUGAGCUAUAGCAUCAAUGACGGAACAAUGGCCGUCCUCCUCGUUAUCGAUCGACGGCGAAAAAAUAACUACGAAGAUGUGUUUCCGCGAAAUCCAUUAACUAGUUAAUCAGUUAAUCUUCACUGUUUUGUCAGCAUUUGUCAAGUUCUCUCAUAUGGAUUCGAACAGAGGCACUGUAUUUCUAAUCCACCCCAUCCGGAUAUCUGCUGAAAUCUCCCCGAUCUCGAAUCUCACUUCUCAGGGGUUAGCCCGCACCUGGACAAACUGGG
rnacentral:sRNA from 1 species